UUUUGUCUUUUUCCUCCUUUUUAAUGAAGGGCAAAAUGGUCAGAUUUUCUUAAUUUGUUAUAGUAAAACGUUAAAAGACCAUUUUGCCCUUCAUUAAAAGGGAGGAAAAAGACAGAAA
rnacentral:pre_miRNA from 11 species